rnacentral:rRNA from 1 species
CCUACGGGAGGCAGCAGUGAGGAAUAUUGGUCAAUGGGCGAGAGCCUGAACCAGCCAAGUAGCGUGAAGGAUGACUGCCCUACGGGUUGUAAACUUCUUUUAUAAGGGAAUAAAGUGAUCCACGUGUGCUCUUUUGUAUGUACUUUAUGAAUAAGGAUCGGCUAACUCCGUGCCAGCAGCCGCGGUAAUACGGAGGAUCCGAGGGUUAUCCGGAUUUUAUGGGGUUAAAGGGAGCGUAGAUGGGUUGUUAAGUCAGUUGUGAAAGUUUGCGGCUCAACCGUAAAAUUGCAGUUGAAACUGGCAGCCUUGAGUACAGUAGAAGUAGGCGGAAUUCGUGGUGUAGCGGUGAAAUGCUUAGAUAUCACGAAGAACUCCGAUUGCGAAGGCAGCAUACUGGACUGCAACUGACACUGAGGCUCGAAAGUGUGGGUAUCAAACAGGAUUAGAUACCCUGGUAGUC